rnacentral:sRNA from 1 species
UAACACAAGCAAAUCGAACGAGAAGUCUGUAGCAAUACAGAUUGUAAAGUGUGUGCACGCGGUGAGUAACACGUGGGUAACCUACCCUCAAAUCCGGGAUAACUCCACGAAAGCGGGGCUAAUACCAGGUAAUAUUCUGAUUUCCUUGGAAGUUUUAAUCAAAGAUGGCCUCUGCAUGCAAGCUAUUGUUUGAGGAUGGGCCCGCGUACCAUUAGCUUGUUGGUAGGGUAAUGGCCUACCAAGGCAACGAUGGUUAUUUUUGUCUGAGAGGAUGGCCAGCCACACUGGAACUGAUACACGGUCCAGACUCCUACGGGAGGCAGCAGUGGGACUCCUACCGGAAGCAGCAGUGG